CCUACGGGAGGCAGCAGUGGGGAAUAUUGCGCAAUGGGCGAAAGCCUGACGCAGCGACGCCGCGUGAGGGAUGAAGGUCUUCGGAUCGUAAACCUCUGUCAGCAGGGAAGCACGGUCACUGUGCUAAUCAGCAGUGAAUUGACGGUACCUGCAAAGGAAGCACCGGCUAACUCCGUGCCAGCAGCCGCGGUAAUACGGAGGGUGCGAGCGUUAAUCGGAAUUACUGGGCGUAAAGCGCUCGUAGGCGGUAUGUCAAGUCAAGGGUGAAAUCCCCGCGCUCAACGUGGGAACUGCCUUUGAAACUGGCAAACUGGAGUGUGUGAGAGGAUAGUGGAAUUCCAGGUGUAGGAGUGAAAUGCGUAGAUAUCUGGAGGAACAUCAGUGGCGAAGGCGAGUAUCUGGCACAUAACUGACGCUGAGGAGCGAAAGCGUGGGUAGCAAACAGGAUUAGAUACCCCUGUAGUC
rnacentral:rRNA from 1 species